AUGAGGACUCAAUUGCUUUACUCCCACAUGACAUUUGGGUGUGACAAGAAAGGACCAUGCUCUGACCUGUGGGAUGGGCUCUCCCUGGAGAUGGGGCCUCCAGAUCCAGCCUUUCACUGCACCACUCUUCUCUGUGCACGCCUUCAGGGACACAGGGCACAACAAAGGAAAUUAAGGCCUUAACAGAGCUAAGAAAUGCAGUAUUGAGGACACUGGAGAGUGGAAUCUUCCAGAAAGCAGCCAAGUGCUGGUAAGUGCUUGAUCAGGUCC
rnacentral:lncRNA from 1 species